CCGCUGGAAGCCGAGCUGGAACUUUGGAAAAGCUUCGUCAUCCGGGUGGAUGGACAAGAGAGACAGCUCCAGUGAGCAGCAAACAGCCGGCGAACUGGCUGACGAUACUCGAAAACUGCACCCGAACAAUGUUGCCUCUCUCAGUGGACGCGACACGCCGUGUUAGUUGAUUGUGAACGUUGCUGCUGGUUGGAACGUCGGCCACACUUUCGUUUCGAGAGUCGCUGGUGGACGCUUGUCAAUGUUUACAACUGAAAAGACGGGCUUCAGAUCAAAGGCCUGGUUAAAAAAACCCAAAUCAUUGCAAGAGACAAGGGAGCAUCAAUAAAGCAAAGAGUCAACAUAUUCACAAAAAUUGUCUAAUUUACCAUGACCGCUGGGCGA